AUGUAAGACGUGUCUUUGCUCCUCCCUCACCUUCUGCCAUGAUUGUGAGGCCUCCCCAGCAUUGUGGAACUAAGACUGUGCAUGCUUCUAAUAAAAAUUUGGAACCAAAAGAAGUUUAAAAAGCCGAAAGUGACUAAGUGCUGCUAUCCCAUGCCCCAAAGGACCAUGAUCGCUUGUCUGGACCCAGAAAAUAUUUCCCAUUUGCUACACAGAUGCCGUCUCAUCCUUCCAGAGUUCAAGACUUCAGCAGAAAAAAAAAUCACCUCAUUAAAGGAAAAUUGUGCCUUAUCCCCACUACUCGAAGAUGCAACCAUCUGCCUGGUCACAGCCACUUUUUUCCUUUUUUUCUCACUCCAUCGUAUGUGUGUGUGGUGGGGCAGGGGAUAAGGGGAAUAAUCUCUCUCCAGUAUAAGAAGGUAAUGAUUCAAAGAUUUAAAUGCUAAACUUCUGGGACUUCGGGACUUACUAUAAAACUAGAUAAGAUCAACAACAACAAAAACAAUGCUUUCUAUUGAAAUUUGUACAGUUUUGCAAGUUCAUUUCUGCUCUUCGUCUGUUGAAGCAUCAAUAAAGUCCAAGAAAAAUACUGGGAAUCAGAUUCAUGCCCAAAGUGACCCUGUGGCAGUUGAGGAUUGACUGGGCUAGAAGACCAAAGUUUAAAGCGCAAGUUAAUCUGAGACAGAGAAAUGAAAGAGAAGAUGAGAAAGAAAAGUGGCCUCAAAAUAAGAGGAACUAGGGUCCUGGCUCAGAGGCUCAUGCCUGUAAUUCCAUCACUUUGGGAGGCCGAGGUGGGCAGAUCACCCGAGGUCAGGAGUUCCAGACCAGCCUGGCCAACAUGGUGAAACCCCGUAUCUACUAAAAAUACAAAAAUUAGCUGGGCAUGGGGGCGCCUUAAUCCCAGCUACUUGGGAGUCAGAGACAGGAGAAUCAUUUGAAUCUGGAGGUGGAAGUUGCAGUGAGCCAAGAUCCCAGCCAUUGCACUCAAGCCUGGGGGACAAGAGCAAGACUUAUCUCAAAAAAAAAAAAAAAAAAGGAACUAGGACACAAGCAAGAACAGAAGUAGGAUAUGCAAAUGCUUUCUUUGAAAGCUGGGGGCAGGUGAAUGGCUUUCCUGUACUGCUAUAAAGGUACAAAAUGGAGGCAGGCACUCUUUAGAGAGGUUUAGUUUGAAAAUAAGAUUUUCAAACUUUACCCCCAAUGAAGUACAACUAGCCUUAAAUUCCACCCCACCCACCACCUCCACAAAAAAAGAAAAAAUAAAAAGAAAAUAUCUAUCAAAAAGCAUUAGUCAUGGAAAGGACUUAAUCUUGAAAAUGAAAGCAACAAAGUUGUUAAAUGUAGACAGACACUAAGCUGCUUACAACAAUAUUUGCUUACAUUAUAGCAUCUAAUAUAAGAUGUUAUUUGCUCAUUGUUUAUUAUGUACUCCAUGCUCUCACAAGAAGCUUAGCUUUGAUUUUUUUCUUAAUUUUGGUGGCUUAAAUUUGAAAAUUUAACUUUGCAUUAAAGGAGGGUUUUUAUUUAAUUAAAGAAUGUAUUCUGGAGCUUGAUUACAAAUUAAAAUCCAACAUUUGCUUAACGUGGAUGGGUUUACAAUUAUAGGAAAAACUUUUUGCACUUCAUGAUUUAGUGGCUGUUUAACUUUGUACUCAAUAUAGUAAUUAAUAUAUGUUGCUGCAUUUAAUUUUCUGUUUAAUUUUUUAAAAUAAAAAGGUAAAGGAUGUUUGCUGCUUUUAAGGAGAUUUACCUGCAUAACUUCAUUACUCUGCGUGAUCGUAUAAUGGCCCCAUCUGAGUUAUCCACCAAACUGAUGUUUAUACCUACAAUGUCAUCUGUUCUCUUUCAAAACUAAUUGUGUCACACCAUUGGUGUUGGUUUAUAUUAUACUUAUUUGAUAGGCCUAGAUUUAUUAAAUAUCUUUUAUGACACUUGGGCUAAGUUAUGCUUAUAUAGAAAUGUAAUAUAC
rnacentral:lncRNA from 10 species